rfam:Photobacterium damselae subsp. piscicida DI21 genomic scaffold scaffold00001, whole genome shotgun sequence.
UAACUCUUACUUAAGAGUUAACCUAGCCAACUGACGUUGUUUGUGGAAUCUAUUCACUAAACAAUGACGCCAACCGAACUUAUUUCUCGGUUGGCUUUUUUUUA